AGUGAGGAAUAUUGCACAAUGGAGGAAACUCUGAUGCAGCAACGCCGCGUGGAGGAUGACGCAUUUCGGUGUGUAAACUCCUUUUAAGAGGGAAGAUAAUGACGGUACCUCUUGAAUAAGCACCGGCUAACUCCGUGCCAGCAGCCGCGGUAAUACGGAGGGUGCAAGCGUUACUCGGAAUCACUGGGCGUAAAGGGUGCGUAGGCUGGCUUCUAAGUCAGAUGUGAAAUCCAAUGGCUUAACCAUUGAACUGCAUUUGAAACUGGGAGCCUAGAGUUCAGAAGGGGCAGAUGGAAUUAGUGGUGUAGGGGUAAAAUCCGUAGAUAUCACUAGGAAUAUCAAAAGCGAAGGCGAUCUGCUGGGAUGAUACUGACGCUGAGGCACGAAAGCGUGGGGAGCAAACAGGAUUAGAUACCCUGGUAGUCCACGCCCUAAACGAUGAAUGCUAGUCGUCGGGGAGCUCGUCUCUUCGGUGAUGCACUUAACAGAUUAAGCAUUCCGCCUGGGGAGUACGGUCGCAAGAUUAAAACUCAAAGGAAUAGACGGGGACCCGCACAAGUGGUGGAGCAUGUGGUUUAAUUCGAAGAUACACGAAGAACCUUACCUGGCCUUGACAUCCCAAGAACCCUUAAGAGAUUAGGGGGUGCUAGCUUGCUAGAACUUGGUGACAGGUGCUGCACGGCUGUCGUCAGCUCGUGUCGUGAGAUGUUGGGUUAAGUCCCGCAACGAGCGCAACCCUCGUCGUUAGUUGCUAACAGUUCGGCUGAGCACUCUAACGAGACUGCCUUCGCAAGGAGGAGGAAGGUGAGGACGACGUCAAGUCAUCAUGGCCCUUACGGCCAGGGCUACACACGUGCUACAAUGGGGCGUACAAAGAGCUGCAAUACCGCGAGGUGGAGCCAAUCUCUUAAAGCGUCUCUCAGUUCGGAUUGUUCUCUGCAACUCGAGAACAUGAAGCUGGAAUCACUAGUAAUCGUAGAUCAGCUAUGCUACGGUGAAUACGUUCCCGGGUCUUGUACUCACCGCCCGUCACACCAUGGGAGUUGAUUUCACCCGAAAUCGGGAUGCCAAACUGGCUACCGCUUACGGUGGAAUUAGCGACUGGGGUG
rnacentral:rRNA from 1 species